GUGUAACUCCACUAGCCUACCAGGGUGCCUCUCAUAAAGAAAUGGUGAAAAUGCACAAUGCCUCAGGACGCCUUGAGGAAGGAGCAGCAUGUUGCUGCCGAGGGUGAACACACGUGGUCUCUGCGGAGAGGCGACAGAUCUCCCUGGGCGUCAGUCAUCCUGGGACUGGGUGUCGUGGAAGAAGGUGACACCAGGCAGAAACCAAGAGCAGGGGAGCUGCAGGCCGGCAUAAGAGCCCGUAUCAGAGCAGAGUGGCCCCUGAGCGGGGAGGGAGCCGGAGAUCACUGUUGGAGGAGGGCCCGGCACCUGCACCUGAGGACAUGAGUCUAAUAAAAGAGUAUAAAUAAUAUAAUAAAAGAGAGUAUAAUAAAAAAAUAAUUUAAAGAAAAUAGAGCUUGAUAAAUCUGUUUCUUCAUCUUCAUAAUAAUGUCAAAUUUGUUGAGAUUUUUUUUAAAUGGCACGAUUUGUCUACAGAUCUUUGUACUCUGUCUGGCUUAAAUAUAUAUACAACUUAUAUAAUAAAAUACUG
rnacentral:lncRNA from 1 species